CUUAGUCAUGACCACGAUUCUAGGGCAUGUAACAUCGUGGGUUGCUGUUUACUGUUCUGUUUUGAUGUAAGGCUAUUUAAUAGCCAUGAUUAUGGUUCUUCAAUUAAAUAAGCAUUCUCCCAGACUUCUAGCGUUGUCAAGCUUUGCAUUUACAAAACUUAUCUGUCAUUUCUGGUUCUAACAAGUUCAAUACAUGAAUUUUCUCAUUUAUCAUACAAUUCAAGUGCUUAAGAUGUUUCGACCAAAAAAAAAAAAAAAAAAAAAAAGAAAAAAAAGCCUUAAGACGUAACUCUCUUGCACUAGCACUGUCUUGAGGUGCAAAUUUGAUCGCCUUUAGAAAGUCUUCCCGCGCAGCAUCUGUCUAGGCCCCUGUUUGGUUUCGGAGAAAAUCACAAGCUCAAAUUUACUCGCACAUUUUCUCAAUUUUUGUGUUGGAAUUGAUAGGUUGCGGUGAAGGAGGUUAUCGAGAAGGUUCUGGUUGGGCUGAUACGGCCUCAUUUCGUUAUGGCUAAUAUUGGAAGUGGGUUUGGAUUGUAUGACAUCUCCAAGUUUGUUUGUGUUCUUGCUCAUAUAUACCCCUUAAUCUUAAUUAUUAUAUCUGAGCACGAACCUAUUCGGUGAUCAAUCUGAAGAGGAAGAGGAAGAGGAAGAGGGCGAUUCCGAGAACGAGCCCAAUCCACAGCCCAAUUCUGCCUGCGGGAGCGGCGAGAGAACUUUCCACCAUUGGAAAACUGGUGGGUGCAUUCCAGCAAGUCGUAUUCCUCUUUUCUCUUUUUUCAUAUCUGUCUUGCCAUUGACUGGAGAUGUGGGGGAUCCUGCUACCCUGUCCGCCACAGUACAGGGCUGUAACAAGAUUAUCUAUUGUGCUACUGCACUCUCUACUAUUAGCGGAGACCUCUACAGGGUUGAUCAAAGAGGGGUCUAAAAUCUUACCAAAGCAAUUCAGGACUAUAAGAAGAAAAUGGCUUAAUUACGAGGAGGAAAGAGUAGCAAGAGCAAACUUACAAUUGUAAAGUACAAGACUCCGGAGUCAGUGGAUGGAUGGGAAGUUCGUCAGGGGACCUACUUUCAGGAUGUGGUUGCUUCUAAGUAUGAUGGAGGAAUGGAUGCCAAGUUCGAAUUCACUUUCACCGGAGAUGCUGUUCUCUCCGGAUAAGUCUUCGCCAGACGAGGGUACUAACCUAAAAGCAGCUUCCCAAAAACAAAUUCAUGGUAUUUUUCUUAUUAUUAAUUACAGAUAGUAUUUCUAUGUUUUCCCUCUGUGUUUUAGAGAUAAUCAACUGUUAUUAAGCUGUUUUCAUAGUGAUUAGAACUUCCUUUAGAACUAAUGAAUCAAGUCAUAGCGAGAUAAGCUAAUCGAAACAGCACAAAUAUGAAUGAAUACAGGUUCUGCUCUCUUAAGGUUUCAA